CCCGGGUACUGAACUGUUCAUUACAGCAAGUAAAAGAUACAUCUGAGAGGCUCUUUGCAAGAGAAAUCAAAUCAUUACCAAUUCCUUGAAGCUUUUUCCACACCAGUUGAAUAUCCGUAAGAAAAAGUGAAGGUGAAUGUUCAUAAACUCCAUCUUUCAUCCUUAUGUUUAUGAGACUCAAGCCUAAAAGGUUUUCAGCCUUUGUUUCUUGGAAAU
rnacentral:misc_RNA from 1 species